rnacentral:tRNA from 1 species
AUUGUUUUAUUAUAUAUCUAUUAUACCGGCUUUUCGUGCCGGAAAAGAUACUAAGUAUCAAACAGUA